GCUGAUGAUGUCAUUGACACAAAGAAGAAAAUGCAAAACAGGAAGCCUUAAAUCAGCUUAAUGGUGAGCAUCACAUGUGCAGCUGAGGCCGGAGACCACUGCGGUGUGGCUAUGGCUUUGCGGAGCACCCUGGAAGCUGUGUGGUUGGGGCUCCUCUUCAGCUCUCUCUGGAAAAUUGCAGAGAGCAAGGAUCAAGUAUUUCAGCAGUCCUCUGUGGUAUCUUCGGAGGGAGCGGUGGUGGAAAUCUCCUGCAAUCACUCUAUAUCCAAUGCUUAUAACUUCUUCUGGUACCUUUACACCCCAGGAUGUGCACCAAGACUCCUUGUGAAGGGCUCAAAGCCUUUUCAGCAGGGACACUACAACAUGACAUAUGAGCGAUUUUCUUCUUCACUGCUCAUCCUCCAGGUGCAGGUGAAAGAUUCUGCUGUUUACUACUGUGCUCUGGGGGACACAGAGGCAGAGAACCCAUGA